GACGAACGCUGGCGGCGCGCCUAACACAUGCAAGUCGAACGGAGCUUAGAGAGCUUGCUUUUUAAGCUUAGUGGCGAACGGGUGAGUAACGCGUGAGUAACCUGCCCUAGAGUGGGGGACAACAGUUGGAAACGACUGCUAAUACCGCAUAAGCCCACGGUACCGCAUGGCACUGAGGGAAAAGGAUUUAUUCGCUUUAGGAUGGACUCGCGUCCAAUUAGCUAGUUGGUGAGGUAACGGCCCACCAAGGCGACGAUUGGUAGCCGGACUGAGAGGUUGAACGGCCACAUUGGGACUGAGACACGGCCCAGACUCCUACGGGAGGCAGCAGUGGGGGAUAUUGCACAAUGGGGGAAACCCUGAUGCAGCGACGCCGCGUGGAGGAAGAAGGUUUUCGGAUUGUAAACUCCUGUCGUUAGGGACGAUAAUGACGGUACCUAACAAGAAAGCACCGGCUAACUACGUGCCAGCAGCCGCGGUAAAACGUAGGGUGCAAGCGUUGUCCGGAAUUACUGGGUGUAAAGGGAGCGCAGGCGGGAAGACAAGUUGGAAGUGAAAACCAUGGGCUCAACCCAUGAAUUGCUUUCAAAACUGUUUUUUCCUGAGUAGUGCAGAGGUAGAUGGAAUUCCCGGUGUAGCGGUGGAAUGCGUAGAUAUCGGGAGGAACACCAGUGGCGAAGGCGGUCUACUGGGCACCAACUGACGCUGAGGCUCGAAAGCAUGGGUAGCAAACAGGAUUAGAUACCCUGGUAGUCCAUGCCGUAAACGAUGAUUACUAGGUGUUGGGGGAUUGACCCCCUCAGUGCCGCAGUUAACACAAUAAGUAAUCCACCUGGGGAGUACGACCGCAAGGUUGAAACUCAAAGGAAUUGACGGGGGCCCGCACAAGCAGUGGAGUAUGUGGUUUAAUUCGAAGCAACGCGAAGAACCUUACCAGGUCUUGACAUCCGAUGCAUAGCACAGAGAUGUGUGAAAUCCUUCGGGACAUCGAGACAGGUGGUGCAUGGUUGUCGUCAGCUCGUGUCGUGAGAUGUUGGGUUAAGUCCCGCAACGAGCGCAACCCUUAUUGCCAGUUACUACGUUAAGAGGACUCUGGCGAGACUGCCGUUGACAAAACGGAGGAAGGUGGGGAUGACGUCAAAUCAUCAUGCCCUUUAUGACCUGGGCUACACACGUACUACAAUGGCGUUAAACAAAGAGAAGCAAGACCGCGAGGUGGAGCAAAACUCAAAAACAACGUCUCAGUUCAGAUUGCAGGCUGCAACUCGCCUGCAUGAAGUCGGAAUUGCUAGUAAUCGCGGAUCAGCAUGCCGCGGUGAAUACGUUCCCGGGCCU
rnacentral:rRNA from 1 species